GUGAUUAGGCCAGCAAUGGCAGGGUGGAGUCAGGCCAGGACCAGAGCUGAUGGCUAAGGCACUCAAGUAGAAGCCGCUAGAGUAUCUGUGGAGAAGCCUGGGGUAUAGAGGUGAUACAAGACUCACCAUUUUAAAAAAUGUUUUUUAGUGACCGGAUCUCACUCUGGCACCUAGACUGGAGGGUACUGGCAUGAACUCCUGGGCUCAGAUGUCCUCCCACCUCCACCUUCUGAGUAGCCGGAAUUACAGGAAUGAACCAUCAUGCUCAGAUUUCAAGCUCCCUGAAGAUGAAGGCUGAAUCCUACACCUCGCUUGUAUCCUCCAUGGCUCAUUGAACAAGUGCUAGCUAGCUACAUGGAGACUGCUCAAUAAAUAUUGAAUAACUCACGAGGGACUCAAUAAAUAACGAUUGCUUAAUUGAUUAGCUCCGUCAAUAAAUCUUGCUUUGAACAGA
rnacentral:lncRNA from 1 species